CUUACUUCCAACGAUGGUCUUCACUAGCCGAGACCAAACCAGGUAGUUGUUCCCCUUAAAGGUAAUCGCCACCUUCAUCUUCAUGUUCUCCAUCUUUACAGCUUGGCUUCAAAAGCUUGAGAUAGACAGAACCUUGAAUCAACGAAUCUUGUGAGAACUGAUCUGAACUUGUCUAGAACCCACACACGCACCAAGAUGUACACCUUUGAGCUUUGAU
rnacentral:lncRNA from 1 species